rnacentral:rRNA from 1 species
UACGUAGGGUGCGAGCGUUAAUCGGAAUUACUGGGCGUAAAGCGUGCGCAGGCGGCGCGUUUAAGACAGGUGUGAAAGCCCCCGAGCUUAACUUGGGAAUUGCGCUUGUGACUGGCGUGCUGGAGUGUGGCAGAGGGAGGUGGAAUUCCACGUGUAGCAGUGAAAAUGCGUAGAGAUGUGGAGGGAACACCGAUGGCGAAGGCAGCCUCCUGGGCCAGCACUGACGCUCAUGCACGAAAGCGUGGGGAGCAAACAGG